UGGGGAAUUUUGGACAAUGGGCGAAAGCCUGAUCCAGCAAUGCCGCGUGUGUGAAGAAGGCCUUCGGGUUGUAAAGCACUUUUGUCCGGAAAGAAAUCCUUGGCUCUAAUACAGUCGGGGGAUGACGGUACCGGAAGAAUAAGCACCGGCUAACUACGUGCCAGCAGCCGCGGUAAUACGUAGGGUGCAAGCGUUAAUCGGAAUUACUGGGCGUAAAGCGUGCGCAGGCGGUUUGCUAAGACCGAUGUGAAAUCCCCGGGCUCAACCUGGGAACUGCAUUGGUGACUGGCAGGCUAGAGUAUGGCAGAGGGGGGUAGAAUUCCACGUGUAGCAGUGAAAUGCGUAGAGAUGUGGAGGAAUACCGAUGGCGAAGGCAGCCCCCUGGGCCAAUACUGACGCUCAUGCACGAAAGCGUGGGGAGCAAACAGGAUUAGAUACCCUGGUAGUCCACGCCCUAAACGAUGUCAACUAGUUGUUGGGGAUUCAUUUCCUUAGUAACGUAGCUAACGAGUGAAGUUGACCGCCUGGGGGAGUACGGUCGCAAGAUU
rnacentral:rRNA from 1 species